GGGUUGUGAGGUUAAGCGACUAAGCGUACACGGUGGAUGCCCUGGCAGUCAGAGGCGAUGAAGGACGUGCUAAUCUGCGAUAAGCGUCGGUAAGGUGAUAUGAACCGUUAUAACCGGCGAUUUCCGAAUGGGGAAACCCAGUGUGAUUCGUCACACUAUCAUUAACUGAAUCCAUAGGUUAAUGAGGCGAACCGGGGGAACUGAAACAUCUAAGUACCCCGAGGAAAAGAAAUCAACCGAGAUUCCCCCAGUAGCGGCGAGCGAACGGGGAGCAGCCCAGAGCCUGAAUCAGUGUGUGUGUUAGUGGAAGCGUCUGGAAAGGCGCGCGAUACAGGGUGACAGCCCCGUACACAAAAAUGCACAUGCUGUGAGCUCGAUGAGUAGGGCGGGACACGUGGUAUCCUGUCUGAAUAUGGGGGGACCAUCCUCCAAGGCUAAAUACUCCUGACUGACCGAUAGUGAACCAGUACCGUGAGGGAAAGGCGAAAAGAACCCCGGCGAGGGGAGUGAAAAAGAACCUGAAACCGUGUACGUACAAGCAGUGGGAGCACGCUUAGGCGUGUGACUGCGUACCUUUUGUAUAAUGGGUCAGCGACUUAUAUUCUGUAGCAAGGUUAACCGAAUAGGGGAGCCGAAGGGAAACCGAGUCUUAACUGGGCGUUAAGUUGCAGGGUAUAGACCCGAAACCCGGUGAUCUAGCCAUGGGCAGGUUGAAGGUUGGGUAACACUAACUGGAGGACCGAACCGACUAAUGUUGAAAAAUUAGCGGAUGACUUGUGGCUGGGGGUGAAAGGCCAAUCAAACCGGGAGAUAGCUGGUUCUCCCCGAAAGCUAUUUAGGUAGCGCCUCGUGAAUUCAUCUCCGGGGGUAGAGCACUGUUUCGGCAAGGGGGUCAUCCCGACUUACCAACCCGAUGCAAACUGCGAAUACCGGAGAAUGUUAUCACGGGAGACACACGGCGGGUGCUAACGUCCGUCGUGAAGAGGGAAACAACCCAGACCGCCAGCUAAGGUCCCAAAGUCAUGGUUAAGUGGGAAACGAUGUGGGAAGGCCCAGACAGCCAGGAUGUUGGCUUAGAAGCAGCCAUCAUUUAAAGAAAGCGUAAUAGCUCACUGGUCGAGUCGGCCUGCGCGGAAGAUGUAACGGGGCUAAACCAUGCACCGAAGCUGCGGCAGCGACGCUGAUGCGUUGUUGGGUAGGGGAGCGUUCUGUAAGCCUGCGAAGGUGUGCUGUGAGGCAUGCUGGAGGUAUCAGAAGUGCGAAUGCUGACAUAAGUAACGAUAAAGCGGGUGAAAAGCCCGCUCGCCGGAAGACCAAGGGUUCCUGUCCAACGUUAAUCGGGGCAGGGUGAGUCGACCCCUAAGGCGAGGCCGAAAGGCGUAGUCGAUGGGAAACAGGUUAAUAUUCCUGUACUUGGUGUUACUGCGAAGGGGGGACGGAGAAGGCUAUGUUGGCCGGGCGACGGUUGUCCCGGUUUAAGCGUGUAGGCUGGUUUUCCAGGCAAAUCCGGAAAAUCAAGGCUGAGGCGUGAUGACGAGGCACUACGGUGCUGAAGCAACAAAUGCCCUGCUUCCAGGAAAAGCCUCUAAGCAUCAGGUAACAUCAAAUCGUACCCCAAACCGACACAGGUGGUCAGGUAGAGAAUACCAAGGCGCUUGAGAGAACUCGGGUGAAGGAACUAGGCAAAAUGGUGCCGUAACUUCGGGAGAAGGCACGCUGAUAUGUAGGUGAAGUCCCUCGCGGAUGGAGCUGAAAUCAGUCGAAGAUACCAGCUGGCUGCAACUGUUUAUUAAAAACACAGCACUGUGCAAACACGAAAGUGGACGUAUACGGUGUGACGCCUGCCCGGUGCCGGAAGGUUAAUUGAUGGGGUCAGCGCAAGCGAAGCUCUUGAUCGAAGCCCCGGUAAACGGCGGCCGUAACUAUAACGGUCCUAAGGUAGCGAAAUUCCUUGUCGGGUAAGUUCCGACCUGCACGAAUGGCGUAAUGAUGGCCAGGCUGUCUCCACCCGAGACUCAGUGAAAUUGAACUCGCUGUGAAGAUGCAGUGUACCCGCGGCAAGACGGAAAGACCCCGUGAACCUUUACUAUAGCUUGACACUGAACAUUGAGCCUUGAUGUGUAGGAUAGGUGGGAGGCUUUGAAGUGUGGACGCCAGUCUGCAUGGAGCCGACCUUGAAAUACCACCCUUUAAUGUUUGAUGUUCUAACGUUGACCCGUAAUCCGGGUUGCGGACAGUGUCUGGUGGGUAGUUUGACUGGGGCGGUCUCCUCCUAAAGAGUAACGGAGGAGCACGAAGGUUGGCUAAUCCUGGUCGGACAUCAGGAGGUUAGUGCAAUGGCAUAAGCCAGCUUGACUGCGAGCGUGACGGCGCGAGCAGGUGCGAAAGCAGGUCAUAGUGAUCCGGUGGUUCUGAAUGGAAGGGCCAUCGCUCAACGGAUAAAAGGUACUCCGGGGAUAACAGGCUGAUACCGCCCAAGAGUUCAUAUCGACGGCGGUGUUUGGCACCUCGAUGUCGGCUCAUCACAUCCUGGGGCUGAAGUAGGUCCCAAGGGUAUGGCUGUUCGCCAUUUAAAGUGGUACGCGAGCUGGGUUUAGAACGUCGUGAGACAGUUCGGUCCCUAUCUGCCGUGGGCGCUGGAGAACUGAGGGGGGCUGCUCCUAGUACGAGAGGACCGGAGUGGACGCAUCACUGGUGUUCGGGUUGUCAUGCCAAUGGCACUGCCCGGUAGCUAAAUGCGGAAGAGAUAAGUGCUGAAAGCAUCUAAGCACGAAACUUGCCCCGAGAUGAGUUCUCCCUGACUCCUUGAGAGUCCUGAAGGAACGUUGAAGACGACGACGUUGAUAGGCCGGGUGUGUAAGCGCAGCGAUGCGUUGAGCUAACCGGUACUAAUGAACCGUGAGGCUUAACCUUACAACGCCGAAGGUGUUU
rnacentral:rRNA from 2 species